CUUUUUUUACCCAAGUGACGAGAUCGUAAAGUCAAUAGUUGGUCCUACCAUGAGUAUUUUGAGGAGUUACAAACGGAAUGACAAUGUUAAUAUACCAUAGUAUGGUACAUGGUAGAAUUAAGAAGGUAAAGUCAUGCAAUCAUAUGUUUACAUUUUUUUCAACUCUAACUCAUUUGACAACUUUUCAUCGUCAAAAUAUUUAUUAACAAAUCCAUUGUAUAUACACAAAUCAGCGAUGGGAAACUGUGGUCUAUACAGAGUAAUUUGUCAGAGUAUGUUACAAAAAUGGCAGAGAUGAAUAUGCUUAUUUGAAAUGACUACUUUCUUCAUUAUACGAUAGUAUGGUAGAUGGUAUAAAAAUUAACUUUUCGUCAGCAAGAUUCUAAUACAUUUAUACAUUUGAAAGAAAAAAUUUCAAUACAUAUUUACAGCCUGUUCCACGAUAUCGAAAAAAAAUUGUGCAAACGAAAGUUAGUCACUCACAGCCGAAAACGCAUGCGAACACAAUUGAGGAAAAUUGUUUCAACAUAUAUAUUGUUUGAUUAAAACUUGAAACAAAACGCACGAAAAAAACAUCAACUACACAGCUGCGUGCGUUAGAAACAUCAAACCGUACAAAAAUUACCCCCAUUCAAAUCACAUCACAACAAGAUGUUCCAUCCACACCGUAGCCAAAAAAAAAAACAAAUGCCAAGGAGCAAAAGGAUGGCUGACGCUGCGAGAGGCUGGCAAAUUGUGCCGAGGCCCAAACAAAGAUUUUUAAAUCAAAAUAAUCAAUUAUCAAUUUUUGUACAAAAUAACCCACAAAAUAGCACAAUAAUAGUAAUUUCAACAACUUUU